CUGCUGCCUCCCGUAGGAGUCUGGGCCGUGUCUCAGUCCCAGUGUGGCCGGCCACCCUCUCAGGCCGGCUACCCAUCGUCGCCUUGGUAGGCCAUUACCCUACCAACUAGCUAAUGGGACGCGAGUCCAUCUUUCAGCGUCAGGUCUCCCCAACUUUUCCUAUAUAAACAUGCACUUAUAUAACUCAUCCGGCAUUAGCUCACCUUUCGGUAAGUUGUUCCAGUCUAAAAGGCAGGUCACUCACGUGUUACUCA
rnacentral:rRNA from 1 species